UUUUUAUCACUUAUCAUUUGCUCUCAUAUUGUUCUUCUAAAAUUUAGUACUAACAUCAUCAUGUCAUUUAUGCAGACUGCAGCAUUUUUGGACGUACCGUGAGAUGGAUUAUGUCAAGCAGUGGCUCCGCCCUAGGAUCGCAGUGCCCAGAAUCACAAUGCCCAGACACCAUGGAAGGCUGUAGUUUAGUACUCCCUCUGUAAAGAAAUAUAAGAUCAUUUAGAUUACUAAUAUAGUGAUCUAAACAAUCUGAAAGGCUGUAGUUUAGUAGUAAGAGUCGUACCACCAUUACUAGUAUAGUAAGUAAUAAAGAGGAUGGCAGUAUUGUAUGGCAGUAAAUAAUAAAGAGGGUGGCAUUAUUGUAUGGCAGUAAGUACUAAAGAGGAUGGCAGUAUUGUAUGGCAGUAAAUACUAAAGAGGGUGGCAUUAUUGUAUGGCAGUAAGUACUAAAGAGGAUGAACAUUUGCAAUUUCCAGUGAAGCUUGGCAUAGGUGGCUUUGGCAUGGGUGCUGCCGUCAAGAUGAAGACAAGGUUCCGCAAGCAUCAACCAGUGUCCAUGAAAAGGCUACAAGCAAUGCAGCCUGUAAAAUGAUCUCCGGCAAUAUAGCGCCAUAGCACAUAGAUUCACCUCUUUCAAGUUCCUAAUUAUAUCCUGGUUGUCUGAACUCCGAAGUAAUCACGAUAUGCCUUUGUGUUCAUGUCUGGCACCAGGGCCAAGGCUUUGAUGCGAGCGUCGUCUGGGCGAGUGAGCACUGCAAUCUAUUUUUGGGUUGUUUUCAGACUUCAGACACAAGCGGUAGUCAGCUCGGUUUAAGUCGAUAAACUAAGCUUGUGAUUUCUCCUCCAAAUCAUCGAGGAAGUGAUUAAUGGAACCAAAAGUGGACGCUGACCUAUAACAGAUGACUUAAUGAAUUACCUUUCUUCUCAAAGACCAUGUGACCGAG
rnacentral:lncRNA from 1 species